rnacentral:rRNA from 1 species
GAUGAACGCUGGCGGCGUGCUUAACACAUGCAAGUCGAACGAAGCACUUUAUUUGAUUUCCUUCGGGACUGAUUAUUUUGUGACUGAGUGGCGGACGGGUGAGUAACGCGUGGGUAACCUGCCUUGUACAGGGGGAUAACAGUUGGAAACGGCUGCUAAUACCGCAUAAGCGCACGGCAUCACAUGAUGCAGUGUGAAAAACUCCGGUGGUAUAAGAUGGACACGCGUUGGAUUAGCUGGUUGGUGAGGUAACGGCCCACCAAGGCGACGAUCCAUAGCCGACCUGUGAGAGUGACCGCACACAUUGGGACUGAGACACAGCCCAAACUCCUCCGGGAAGCGGCAGUGGGGAAUAUUGCACAAUGGGCGAAAGGCUGAUGCAGCGACGCCGCGUGAGCGAAGAAGUAUUUCGGUAUGUAAAGCUCUAUCAGCAGGGAAGAUAAUGACGGUACCUGACUAAGAAGCACCGGCUAAAUACGUG